GACAGAGGGGGCAAGCGUUGCUCGGAAUCACUGGGCGUAAAGGGCACGUAGGCGGGAUGGCAAGUCGGUCGUGAAAUCCUUCGGCCCAACCGAAGAACGUCGGCCGAUACUGCCGUUCUUGAGGGAUGCAGAGGAGACUGGAAUUCCCGGUGUAGCGGUGAAAUGUGUAGAGAUCGGGAGGAACACCGGUGGCGAAGGCGGGUCUCUGGGCAUUUCCUGACGCUGAGGCGCGAAAGCGUGGGGAGCAAACGGG
rnacentral:rRNA from 1 species